AUGCUACUCCCUCCGUUCGGAAUUACUUGUCUCGAAAAUGGAUGUAUCUAGAACUAAAAUACGUCUAGAUACAUCCAUUUCUCCGACAAGUAAUUCCGAACAGAGGGAGUACUUU
rnacentral:pre_miRNA from 1 species